rnacentral:tRNA from 1 species
GAGUGAUUAGCUCAAUUGGCAGAGCAUCUCGCUUACAACGAGAAUGUUGAAGGUUCAAGUCCUUCAUCACUCA